ACUGUUUUGGCAGAACAAAUGCAUUAGAUUUAGGAUCUAAAUAUAUAGACAUUAUAACUAUAGACGGUA
rnacentral:tRNA from 1 species